AUACUUACCUGGUGGGGCGAUUCCAUGAUCAGGAAGGUGGUUUCCCCAGGGGGAGGCUGGCCCAAUGCACCCCAGGUGUGCUGACCCCUGCAAUUUCCCCAAAUGUGGGAAACUUGACUGUGCAAUUUAUGGUAGUGGGGGACUGUGUACGCGCUCUCCUCUG